UACGUAGGGACCAAGCGUUGUUCGGAUUUACUGGGCGUAAAGGGCGCGUAGGCGGCAAUUCAAGUCAGCUGUGAAAUCUCUGGGCUUAACCCAGAACGGCCAGCUGAUACUGCUUUGCUAGAGUGCAGAAGGGGCAAUCGGAAUUCUUGGUGUAGCGGUGAAAUGCGUAGAGAUGUGGAGGAACACCAGUGGCGAAGGCGACUCUUUGGCCUGUAACUGACACUGAGGCGCGAAAGCGUGGGGAGCAAACAGG
rnacentral:rRNA from 1 species